AAUCAACGCUGGCGGCGUGCCUCAGACAUGCAAGUCGAACGCGAAAGUCCCCUUCGGGGGAUGAGUAGAGUGGCGCACGGGUGAGUAACACGUAGGUAAUCUACCUUCGGGUGGGGGAUAACAACCGGAAACGGUUGCUAAUACCGCAUAAUGCAGCGGCACCUAAUGGUGACAGUUGUUAAAGCGGGGGAUCGCAAGACCUCGCGCCUGAAGAGGAGCCUGCGGCGGAUUAGCUAGUUGGCAGGGUAACGGCCUACCAAGGCGACGAUCCGUAGCCGGCCUGAGAGGGCGGUCGGCCACACUGACACUGACAUACGGGUCAGACUCCUACGGGAGGCAGCAGUCGGGAAUUUUGGGCAAUGGGCGAAAGCCUGACCCAGCAACGCCGCGUGAAGGAUGAAAUCCCUCGGGAUGUAAACUUCGCAAGAACGGGGAGAAUAAGCCGGUGUCAACACCACCGGCGAUGACGGUACCGUUUGUAAGCUCCGGCUAACUCCGUGCCAGCAGCCGCGGUAAUAC
rnacentral:rRNA from 1 species